UACUUCUUCAAAGGUCCGUAAUCAUCACGAGUGUGUGAGUUGUGUAAGUUGUGUAAACAGUGUGUGCUCGGGUGCCAGGAGGUUUGAUGAGCACUAGAAGCGAGUGGUGUGACAGCGGGACAGAGGUAAGUCAGAUCGUCUCAUGUAUGUUUGAUGUUGUUGAAUAUUUCAUGGGCGGAGCUGCACUGAGCUGCACUGAGCUGCACUGAGAUGAAGAUCGUGUUGCUCCAUUUGUGUCAGAGUUUUUGGGAACAGCAUUGACGAGUGUGUGACAAACGAGCAGUUUGAGCCGAGCGGUGGAUCUGCUGCAACGUAACCAGAGUCUCCGUGUAACUCACACACACCUCUCAGGGAUGAAUGGAGGUGUGACAGUUGACCUCCGACCCCUGGAGCAGUCUAUUAGCGCGCUCCCUAAUGGCCUGUCAACACUAAUGUUAGUUUAUAGCAAUUUAAUUAUGCUCAGGUUUCCUGCAGAGACACUUCCCUUUAAAUAAUUCAGACUCAGCGACAAUAAAUCUGUCGGCCAAAAGAAAAGAACAGAACAAAAAAGACGAGAAGCGAAAAGAUU